CAGCGAAGCCGUGAGGCGGAGCCAAUCCCAGAAAACCGAAUCGUAGUCCGGAUUGCAGUCUGCAACUCGACUGCAUGAAGUCGGAAUCGCUAGUAAUCGCGGAUCAGCAUGCCGCGGUGAAUACGUUCCCGGGUCUUGUACACACCGCCCGUCAAACAAUGGGAGUGGUGUUUACCAGAAGUCGUUAGCCUAACCGCAAGGAGGGCGGCGACCACGGUGAGCACCGUGACUAAUGUUAAGUCGUAACAAGGUAAC
rnacentral:rRNA from 1 species